rnacentral:rRNA from 1 species
GAUGAACGCUGGCGGCGUGCCUAAUACAUGCAAGUAGAACGCUGAAGGAGGAGCUUGCUCUUCUGGAUGAGUUGCGAACGGGUGAGUAACGCGUAGGUAACCUGCCUGGUAGCGGGGGAUAACUAUUGGAAACGAUAGCUAAUACCGCAUGACAACAGUUAUUGCAUGAUAACUGUUUAAAAGGGGCAACUGCUCCACUACCAGAUGGACCUGCGUUGUAUUAGCUAGUUGGUGAGGUAACGGCUCACCAAGGCGACGAUACAUAGCCGACCUGAGAGGGUGAUCGGCCACACUGGGACUGAGACACGGCCCAGACUCCUACGGGAGGCAGCAGUAGGGAAUCUUCGGCAAUGGACGGAAGUCUGACCGAGCAACGCCGCGUGAGUGAAGAAGGUUUUCGGAUCGUAAAGCUCUGUUGUAAGAGAAGAACGAGAGUGAGAGUGGAAAGUUCACACUGUGACGGUAUCUUACCAGAAAGGGACGGCUAACUACGUG